rnacentral:tRNA from 1 species
CGGCCUGUAGCUCAGCCGGAAGAGCACCGGUCUUACGAACCGGGUGUCGCGGGUUCGAUUCCCGCCGGGCCGA